GCGACUGCUGGCCCCGCCCCACCUCGUCCUCCGCAUCCGCCUAGUCGCCGCUUCCGUGUUCAAGUCGUUGCGCCGCCGCGGGCUGCAGAGGCGGUCAUGUCGGCUGUUUUGCAGCGCAUCGAGCGGCUCUCCAGCCGGGUGGUGCGCGUCCUGGGCUGUAACCCGGGACCCAUGACCCUGCAGGGCACCAACACCUACUUGGUAGGGAUCGGCACCAGGAGAAUCCUCAUUGACACUGGAGAACCAGCAAUUCCAGAAUAUAUCAGCUGUUUAAAGCAGGCUCUGACUGAAUUUAACACAACAAUCCAGGAAAUCAUAGUGACUCAUUGGCACCAUGAUCAUACUGGAGGCAUAGGAGAUAUUUGUAAAAGCAUCGAUAAUGACACAUCAUAUUGCAUUAAAAAACUCCCACGGAAUCCUCCGAGAGAAGAAAUUAUAGGAGAUGGAAAGCAACAAUAUGUUUAUCUGCGAGACGGAGAUGUGAUAAAAACUGAAGGUGCCACUCUCAGGGUUAUAUACACACCUGGCCACACUGAUGAUCAUAUGGCUCUACUUUUAGAAGAGGAGAAUGCUAUCUUUUCUGGAGAUUGCAUCCUAGGGGAAGGAACAACUGUAUUUGAAGACCUCUAUGAUUAUAUGAACUCCCUAAAAGAGCUAUUAAAGAUCAAAGCUAAUAUCAUAUAUCCAGGACAUGGCCCAGUAAUCCGUAACGCUGAAGCUAAAAUUCUAGAAUACAUUUCUCACAGAAAUAUCCGAGAACAGCAAAUUCUUACAUUGUUUCGUGACAAUUUUGAAAAAUCAUUUACAGUAAUGGAGCUUGUAAAAAACAUUUACAAGAAUAUUCCUGAGCAUUUACAUAAAAUGGCUGAACAUAAUAUCUCACUUCAUUUGAAAAAAUUAGAAAAAGAAGGAAAAAUUUUUUGCUUUUAGGAAAAAUAACGCCCACCAGAGUCCUUCCUUGAAUGUCACUGUAAGAAGGAGAAAAAAGUGAUAUGAAGGGUUAGUAGUGAAAGGCCAGUGGACCACAAAUUGGAAGCUAAAGCUCCCACAGGAAUUAGAAUUUUGCUUAGGGGUUGCAGUUCUUACCCACCACAACUACAAUCAAAGGCAUGUAACGGGAAGAUAGCCUCUCUUCUCCCUACCACGAGACCACAAAGAAUUUCACAUGCAGAAGAUUUGGGAACAGCCAAACAUUUUAGCAGUAGUAAAGAGAGCAAGAGAAGGAACAGAAAUGGGGAGUGGGAACAGGAGAAGCAGGCUUCCCACUGAGUAUGUGGCCCGACUCAGGGCUCGAUCCCAAGACUCCAGGAUCAUGACCCGAGCCAAAGACAGAUGCUUAACGACAGAGCCACCCGGGCACCCCUGUGUGAGAGGUGGAAAUGCAACAGUCCCACUUCAUCCUCGCUUCUAUCGGUCCCAGAGUGGGACAUACCUGAGCAACCAAUCUGCUUGAAACAAGCCUUCAGAAACCCAAGGAUCUUGGUAAGACAAAGUUCCCCACUACCAUGACCCACUCUGAGAGGAUUCAAUGCUGGUCACCGCUCCUUACAAACUGCUUAAGAGGCCAAUUCUACAAAGAAAGUUGAAAUUAGAACAGAUUCCCUGCUUUCCCCUAAAUGACCAUGAAAAUAAUUCCACCAUAUACUGAAACACUCUCCACCUUGGUACCCUCCAGAAGCAAACCUCCAGAGUCAUCCAUUGUCACCAUCUUCUCUUUCCCCACAUGAUUCUGCUCAUCCCUUUGCUGACUUAAACUAAAAGCCAUGCCCCUCGCCCCUAAACCCUUCUACUUUAUCCCCUGGGACCCCAGCUGUGUCAACUGCCAAAUCCUCUGCACGUUCCACUGCUUUCUGUAUAUUUUCUUCACCCUCUUAUGCAGAAACCCGGCUACAGCUCUGACUGAAAACUGAAACCUGCUUUCCUUAGUGCCUUGUCAAGAGGUGGCUGUUUCUUCCCUCCCGCUCCUCACAUACCACCAGGGGUGGAGUGGGUGUUUUUCAUGAUCCUUAUGGCUGAUGACAGUUUUCCUCCCUCGCUCAAAAACCCCAGCUCUUCUGGAAGCCCAUGCCCUCCAACUAUACCACCCACUAUCCCCCUGUGGUAAUCAUCUGCUAAACUCUCGGACUCCUCUUCAUUUAUGUCAGACGUUAGCACCUGGCUCAUUCCCUGGCUCCCUUCCCAUUCUACUCCUCCAGUCAUUCUUGGUGACUGAACAUCCAUGUAAAUCGUGUGUCAAGCAUCCUAGCCUCCUGGUGCCUUGACUCCCCACUUCCAAUGCAUUCCUUCUCCAUCUACCUCAGUACUCCCUCCCUCCAUCAUGCCUUUGCCAUCUCCUGGCCAAUGACUGCACAGCAUCUGAACUCACUCCCAGCAUCCAACUCCCUGACUACGUCCUUCUUAACCAACUAGUUCCACUCCAGCCAUCUUCAACCCCAUGGGCGCCCCCCACUCAGAGGCCCUAGCACUGUUUCUCUGCAUCUGUCAGAACUGGCAAGGAAUAGAGGCAUGUUCAGAUGGAUUUAUUUGGAGAGGGUUUGACAAAGUGCCACUUCACGGAGGAGUGGGCAGGUAGAGGGAAUGAACAAGAGAUAGGGAAGCUUCUGAUGACUGGGGGUGUGGAAAGCCAUUACCACCAACAGCCUGAAGAGGCCAGGGAGAGAAUGAGCUCACUGAGCCCAGGGAGAGCCAAACAGUGAGAGAAAGGUUACAUGACAAGGGCUGACCACAGAAAAACACAGGCACUCCAGAAACAGUAAAGCAACGAGGAAUCAGGGACAAUAAAUCCCCAAAACUCUCCUCUGACUUUUUGACCAGUGCCUUCCCUUGGCCAAAGUUUACUAGAAGUCAGAGGGCAAGAAAGCCUCAGGGAUGCAGUCUGCAAAAGUUUGCCUUUCACAGCAGGAAAGGGUGGACUGCGGGCUGGAAAGUGAUAGAGGAUGGGACACAACCACCCCUCACAGUGUUCACUUAAUUAGCUCUGCCCUUAUCUGCAAAUAUCCUCAACAUCCUUGUCCCUCUGCCACUCGGGCCUUGCAAAACCCAGCUUUCUGCCUUCUCCACACCUGGAUCCAAGCAGGGGGUGUGGCUGCAGACAAGUCUCACUUUGAAUUUAUGUCCACAAGUCUCAAGGAGCCUCUGCUGUCUGAUUAUGUUCCCCCAAUCCAUUCACCCUCCCAUAGUUUAACACCAUUCUCUCUUCAAACCUCAUCCCCACUCCUGAUGACUUCAUUUCAUAUUUUACUGAGAAAACAGAAGCGAUCAGAAGUUGCACAAAAUACAACUAAAUUAUCAUAGACUCAAAUGCAAAAACUAAAACUGUAAGGUUCUUAGAAAAAACAAGCAAACCUCUGUCAUCUUGCGUUAAAUAACUUCUUUUUAAGAUUUUAUUUAUUUAUUGGAGAAAGAGAGUGAAGUAAGAGGGAGACCACAAGCAGGAGUGGGGCAGCAAAGGCAGAGGAAGAAGCAGGCUCCCCACUGAGCAGAUAGCCCAUGCCAUCCCUGGACUCUGAGAUCUCGACCCAAGCAGGAGGCAGACAUUUAACUGCUUAACCGACUGAGCCAUCCAGGGCCCAUAAGCAAUGAUAUCUUAGUACACAAAGAGCAAAUGAUAAAAUAGAACACAGUUCAAUUGGGCUUCACCAAAAUUAAAAACUUUGGUGCUUCAAAGAACACCAUCAAGAAAACAGAAAGACAAACACACUAGGAGAAAAUGUUUUCAAAUCAGGUUAUCUAAAAGGGACUCGUAUCUAGAAUAUAUCUUAAAAACUCAUAACUGAAUGAAUUAAAAAAUAAUAAUAACCCAGAAUAUAGCAAAGGAUUUAAAGAGACAUUUCUCCAAAGAUAUACAAAUGGCUAGCAAGCGCAUGAAAUGGCUAAGAAUCAACAGCAUUAGUAGGGAAAUGCACAUCUAAGACAUAAUAAGAAGCAACCUUAAACCACUGGGAUGGAUAAAAUUACUCGAUAGAAAAAUAACAAAUAGUGGCAAGGUUGAGUAGAGACUAGAACCCCCAGACAUUGCUAGUGGGAUGGUAAAAUGGUGCAGCACCUUUGGAAAUCAGUCUGACAGUUUCUCAAAAAGUAAAACAUAAAAUUGUCAUGUGACCAGCAACUCUAGGUGGACAUCCAAAACAAAAGUCCCUAUAAAACCUACACGCUAAUGCUCACAGCAGCAUUACUCACAAUCACCAAAAGGGAGAAACAAACUAAAUGUCUGUGAACUGAUAAAUGGAUAAAUAAUAUGUGAUAUAUCCAUACACUAUUGUUUUGCCCAUAAAAAGAAACAAAAUACUGAUAUAUGCUACACCGCGGCUGAUCCUCAAAACCCUCAUUUAUCUUAAGUAAAAGAAGCCAGUCAGAAAAGACCACAGUUCUAUGUAUGUGGAAUGUCAGAAUAGGCAAAUCUAGAGAGGCACUAAGAUGAGCGGUUGCCAAGGACUGCCAAGUCCGUGAGGGAAAAUGGAAAGUGAGUGGUAACAUGUACAAGAUUUUUUUGGAGGGUGAUAAAAAAGCUCUAAAGUUAGAAUAUGGGGAUGGCUGCACAACUUUGUUAAUGUUCUAAAAACCACCAAAUUGUACACUUGAAAUAGGUGAACUAUGUGAUAAAAAUUAUAAACUUAAAAUUUUUUAAGUUAAAAAAAUUUUAACUUAAAAUUUUAAAAUGUGUAUUCAAAAAAUACAGUUGAGGGGCUCCUGGGUGGCUCAUCCUUAAGCCUCUGCCUUCAGCUCAGGUCAUGAUCCCAGGAUCCUGGGAUUGAGUCCCGCAUCAGGCUCCCUGCUUGGUGGGAAGCCUGCUUCUCCCUCUCCCACUCUGCCUGCUUGUGUUCCCUCCGUUGCCGUGUCUCUCUCUGUCAAAUAAACAAAUAAAAUCUUUACCAAAAAAAAAAAAAUAUAUAUAUAUAUAUAUAUAUAUAUAUAUAUAUAUAUAUAUAUAUACAGUUGAAUCCUAAGAGACAAAUGCCUAGAUCAGUCGUAGAAGUAAGCAAAGGUUUCAAAGAGAUCACACAUGAAUGAGAUUUGACGGCUCAGUGGGAGCAGGCUGGGUCUAUGAAGAGGAUAGGAGAAAACAUUCCAGACAGAAGCAGCAGCAGACACAAAGCUGGGGGGAGCAAGGGAAGAGAGCGUGAUC